UGCGUUGGUGCGCGUCACUGACCUGCAUACCGACAUUCCCAUACUAUAGACGGUUUAAAAUGUUGGUUAGUUGAUUACAUAUUAUCAUUUGAAAAACAUCACUAAAUUUUAAAUUGUAUAAGAAAUAAUAAUUAUUAAUUUGAGUUGAUUGUUUAACGUUAUAAUAUGUACGCUGUACGGUUAUAUAUAGGUGUUUAAAAUGUCAAUAAAUGACAUUUGUGUAAUUCACUAAUUGGUAUAGUUUGGUGGAGUUGUACCGAGCAAAGAAUUAAUAUCAUAACGAUAUGAUGUGAUAAACAGCGCCGGAACGGAAUGCGUCGGCGGGGACUAUAUGUUACUGCAGACAUUACAAAGGGACAGUGUGAAAAAGUGUAAAGAAAACCCCCGCGUACAAUGAGAUAAGAUACACCUUGUAAAAUACCGAAAAUAUCAAGUUGGUAGUUCAAAAUUAUAUAAAUCAAAAUGGAUAAGAGGCUAUACAACAUUAGCCUAUUAGGCUUAUCAUUCCUGUUUCUUUUCGGUGCAUUUCAAACAAUAGGAAAUAUCGAAGAAACUUUACUGAAAAGUGUGCAAAAUGAGGAUCCUUCAUUUACCGGCGAUGGUUAUACUAGUUUGUCAAUUAGCUAUUUUGGAUUUGCAAUGGCUAAUUGGAUUUCCCCAUCAAUUGUCAAUUACACGGGAUGUAAGAUAGCUAUGUUUAUAGGAGCAAUUUGUUACACUAUGUUUUUAGUAUCAUUUCUCUGGCUGUCUUCAUUUUUACUGUAUCUUAUGUCUGGGCUACAAGGUUUCGGUGCUGCAAUUCUCUGGACAGGACAAGGAACAUACUUAACACUAAACUCUGAUUCAUCUACAAUGUCUAGAAACACGGGCAUAUUUUGGGCGCUAUCGAAUAUGAGUAUGGUUUUAGGAAAUACAUUUGUGUCUUUGGCACUUAACGAUAAAAACGAUUUUGAUGAACCAACCAGGAAGUUUAUCUUGAUUGUGCUCAUAGCUUCAAGUGUAUUAGGUACAUUAUUAUUCUUACUUUUACGAUCUCCUGUGAGCUCAGAUGGAACUAUGAAUGAACGAGUAGAAACUAUAGGUUCUAUUCAGGAAAUCAAAAAUACGAUGUCGCUUUUUUUAACCAAAGAAAUGCGUUUAUUAAAUAUAACAUUUUUUUUUACUGGUUUACAUUUGUCAUUCUAUGCUAGUGUCUAUAGUUCGAGUAUUGGAUUUACUAAAAGAAUAGGUUCCAAUAGUAAACAGCUUGUGGGAUUAUCUGGAAUAUUGAUUGGCGUUGGAGAAAUCCUAGGAGGUUUGAUAUUCAGUAUUUUGGGUCAAAAGUCUUCUGACAACAACACUAACUCGAAAGGAUUAAGUCAUUCAGCAGUAAUUGUAUUAGGUUUUAUCGUAAAUAUCGUUGCAUACGGUUUGAUAUUUAUAAAUUUACCGAACGACUCACCAUUUGGUGAUACAACUGCCAUAUCAUUUAUUGAUCCCAAUCAGCACCUAGCACUUUUCUGCAGUUUUCUUUUGGGUUUUGGCGACAGUUGCUUCAAUAUCCAACUUGACAAUAUAAUUGGACUAAGGUAUUCUGAAAAUAGUGCUCCACCCAUGGCCUUGUUCAAUUUCAUGCAGUCAAUAGCAGCUGCUGUAGGUUUUUACUAUAGCAAUUAUUUUGGAAUAUAUGUCCAACUAAUAUUAUUGAUGGUCUCAUUAACCAUGGCUACUUUUUCGUUCCUCAAAGUGGAUGAAUCUACUAAUAAACGAUAUUAUGAAGAAUUAUAAGAGAUAAAUGUUUAUCAAAAGAAAUCAUUUGACCAAUAUUGUACGUCAAGUUAUUAUUCGUGUAUUAUUCCUUUCAGGAUUUGUAAAAUUAAAUGUAGUUGGUUGUCUUAAAGAACGAAACGAUUUUAAAUGCUUAAAGAUUGCAUUCAAUUGUUGGAAAUAUGAACAAAUUAUAACUGAAUGCAUACUAUAAUAUGCGUAUAUAGGUAUUGUAACGUCUCCUCUUCACCUGGGCUCUUACCCGUUCAGGUGUCGUUCUGUUUUUAUUAACGAGGUCUCGGAGACUCGACCUCGGUGUGUGAUAUUAUUACUAGGCAUCAGGGUUACCUUAUGUGUAGCAAGUACUCAACGUAAUAUAUAUAUAUGUAUAUCUGAAUAUUAAUGUAUUAUUAUUAUCUACUACAAGUUACAACAUCGAAAGUAUACUUAUAAAUUAGGUAUAACUCCGGGCUACCGAUCGGGCCAUGGUGUGUCGUGGGUGCCGAUGUCCAAAUGUGGGUUGAGCUGGUCGUCCGCAGGUCGUUGUCAGUCCUCGAGUUCCUCUAUCGACCACCGACUAUGACUCUUCAUUCUUGACCAUCCAACUAUCAACCGCCGACUAUAUUCUAUCGACUACCUCACUGUAGAAGUGUAGACUCUAUCAUAACUAACUACCGCCAGGCGUCCCGGUCGGUUAUUUACACGAUGUGUUUGUGAUAAAGAGUUUUAUCUAAAUAUUCACGAACUCUUGAAAAUAUUAUGUACUUUGCGUCUUUGCCUGUAUCAACUGCUACACAUGAACCAUUUUUUCAAGUUUGAAGAGGAUUAAAUUUUACCUAAUAAAUAGUAUGACAGAAAACCGACUGAAUGUGUUGGCUUUAUUGGCAUGUCACUGGUCAAUAUAAUAAUCAUGCCAGAUAGGGCUAUCGAUGAACUGAACAUCCAAAAAAAUAGAAAACUCGAUUUUGUAUUAUAACUAUUUUUUUUGGUAAUCGUAAUAAACAUGGGAUUGGCGACAGUAUGAAUUUAUAAUAA